GUUGUAUUAAAUUUUCAUUAGGGAAUUUCUCAAAUAAUUAAUAAAAAUAUCUUAACAGGUAACAACUAUAACAUUAAGCCAAAUAAAAUUUCAAGAAAUAAAAACUAUUUAACCUUUCAUUACACUAACGGUUGCAUGAACAAUAUUAAAGCCCUUGCAAUUGUUUAGAAACAUAGAACUGAGGAAUUCAAUUUGAAUACAUUAUGACUGUAAAUAUGUCUUAAGCUGUGAUUCAAUGAUACAUUGACGCGUCCUUUAAUGAUGUACACUAUGUGGCAGCACAUCAAAAUGACAAAUACUAAAAAAAAUAUAUUUAUAUAAAACUUACCUCUAAAAGUAGAGGUUGUUGUUUUCUAUAUCCCCAACCAGAUUAAAGUAUCAAAGUUAGAUCUUACCAGCUGUUUGCAAGGCAUUACAUAUACAGGUUUCCCGCACCGAACAUGCCAUUUAAUUUAUAGAUUACUAGUUACUCGUGACAUCAUAAGAGCUGACUUACAAUUGACGGUAGAAGAUAUAAAACUAGAAUUCACAAAUUCAUUACACUAAUUCAUUAAGAAAAGGAGAAUUCACAAACCUCUUGACAGUUUGUCAUGAUUUUCCUUUUCCAAACCAAAGGAAGACAAAAAAAUGCAGAGGAAAACUUUUUUAAUAUUCCAUUGUAGAGAAAACUACAUGAAAUAAUUGUGAGUCAGAAUUGCAAAUGAUGAUUUGGGUUAUCUCACUUUCAUUUAGUACAUACUGUGUGAAUGAACACGGCCAAUAGCACUAGGGGACUGAGUGAAUAGAAGUUUUAGACUGGAGAGGGGACUGCGAUGGUAUUAUACAGCUUUUCUUUAUAUGGAAGAGAGAGGCGNNNNNNNNNNNNNNNNNNNNNNNNNNNNNNNNNNNNNNNNNNNNNNNNNNNNNNNNNNNUUUUCUUUAUACGGAAGAGAGAGGCGGAAGCAUGUAAUUAAAAAUCAAAUAACCAUAAAUGAUUAAAUUAGGCAGGAAAGAACAGAAGAAUUCCUUCAGUGAUGCUGCCCCAAUAUAUAUGUUGAUGGGGAUGCUGCCCCUUCAAGCUGCAAAAAUGGAAUUCUUAUGUGCCAGCAAAUAUGAAAUAAGCAACUUUUGGGAAGAGUAUGAAAUAAGCAUAGCAUUAAUAUGAAGAGAGAAAAAAAUAAAUCAAACAUCGGAUUUUGUUUCAAGAGGAAUCGUAAUUCAAAAGUAUAUCAUUUAUAACAUUUUGAAACCUGCUGACAAUAUAUGCUAUCACUUUAAACCUCACAAAACAAUAAUCAUAAAGAUAACCUCAAAAUCUGUGAUUUAUGCUCUAUUAUAGUAUCUGCUUUUUAUAUCUCUUUUUGCCUUUUCUGCCAAUGUUUUCUGAACUUUUGGGAAGUCUAAAUAGAGAUGUUUACCUCUUUAAACUUAUAAACGAGAAUCAAAGGAAACAUAACUCAGACACAUUCCUACAUACUAUUAAACUAGGUUUCUUCCAGAAAAACCUUCAUUUACUCAAGUUGACUAUCAAGUAGUAUCAGCAUGACUAGGAGAAUAAGAGACAAAGAAAGACAGGUCUAACCUCG
rnacentral:lncRNA from 1 species